rnacentral:lncRNA from 1 species
GAUUUAUCCAGAAUCAGAGAUGUCUGACAAGGAGGAAAUGGCUUUGGACGGGAGUCUGAAUGUUACCCUGACUUUAAGGCUGCUGAUGCACGGAAAGGAAGUUGGCAGCAUAAUUGGGAAGAAAGGAGAAACAGUGAAAAAAAUGAGGGAGGAGAGUCGUGCUCGGAUCAACAUAUCUGAAGGGUUGUCACCUGAAAGAAUAGUCACGAUCACAGGACCCACAGAGGGCAUCUUCAGAGCUUUCUCAAUGAUUGCACAGAAAUUUGAGGAGGACAUUACUGCAGCAAUGACAAACAGCAACGUAACAAGUAAGCCACCUGUGACACUUCGUCUGGUGUUUCCAGGGAGCCAGUGUGGCUCACUCAUUGGUAAAGGAGGCUCAAAGAUCAAAGAGAUCAGAGAGACCACAGGGGCCCAGGUUCAGGUGGCUGGAGACAUGCUGCCGGACUCCACGGAAAGAGCUGUCACAAUCUCAGGCACUCCACAGGCCAUCACUCAGUGUGUGAGACACAUCUGUUCCGUAAUGCUGGAGGUGAGCCCUGUCAAGAACCGGAUGAUAUUAGGGUUUACCAGCACUCUAGGCCUUCAAUAUGUCACAGUUAUUUUGGACAUGGUUUUUGGGCCCUCCUUGUCCUACUUUGCAGGAUUGGAUGCAUCAGCCCCCACAAGUUCACAUGAGAUGGCAAUACCUAAUGAUUUUAUUGGCUGCAUAAUUGGAAGACAAGGCAGCAAAAUCAAUGAAAUUCGCCAGGUCUCUGGAGCUCACAUCAAAAUUGCCAGUGCUACUGAUGGCUCAGCCAUGCGCCAAGUCACGAUCACGGGCUCGCCAGCCAGUAUCGGCGUGGCUCAGUAUCUCAUCAACGCCAGCUUAGAGAUGGCUAAAUACACCAUGCAGGCUGCUUCCUCCGUGACCCCAGUUGAUCUCAACAUGAGCUUCUCUCAGUCCGCCCCCACUGCCUCCACAUCUGCUACCUCUAUGGCCGUCCUGGCGGCAGCCACCCCAGCACCCACCGCCAUUAACGUCCACUCACCCUCCACCCUAUCAGCCAUACAAACCCCACACUACGCCGUUCCUGUUUCCAGCCUGCUUGGCAUGAAAACGCUCCCCUUCCUGGCUGUCCACCCAGCAGCCCCUUCAGGUUUAACACAGGGUUUGUCUGCUUACACUCCAAAAAUGCCCAACUCUGGUGUCAAGAAAUCAGAGCGGCAGAAGUUUGCUCCAUACUGACACCUGUUCUUUCAAAUCUUUUCAGUGACACACAACGGUUUUGCUACAUUAUUUAAAAAAAUACUAACUACCCGCAUGUAGAAGGUUCUUGACAUAGGAGAAAACCCAGGGGUGGGGGACCAUGUAUCUUGUCACCAAGUUGGAUGUAAAUACUUGGUGGUACAUACAGUAUAAGGGAAUAAAAGUAAAAUGUUUUGUAGGUAGAAUGGCA